UUUGGGCAAGUGAUGAAUCUCAAUGUUUUAAAUGGGUAAUUUGCGUCUGAUGUUUCAAUUGAUGCUAUUUCACUUUGGAGAACUGAUGCCCCUU